rnacentral:snoRNA from 1 species
GCUGCUGCUGCUGCUGCUGCUGCUGUGGCUGCUGCCCUUCUGGCAGCUUCGGCUGAGCAGACACCAUGAGGCUGACGUUUUCGCUCAUUGUCCGAGCUAUGGAAGUAUGGAUUACCUCUGCCUAUUGU